rnacentral:rRNA from 1 species
UACGAAGGGGGCUAGCGUUGUUCGGAAUUACUGGGCGUAAAGCGUGCGCAGGCGGCUUCUCAAGUCAGGGGUGAAAGCCCAGAGCUCAACUCUGGAACUGCCUUUGAGACUGAGAGGCUUGAGUACGGGAGAGGUGAGUGGAAUUCCCAGUGUAGAGGUGAAAUUCGUAGAUAUUGGGAAGAACACCGGUGGCGAAGGCGGCUCUCUGGACCGUAACUGACGCUGAGGCGCGAAAGCGUGGGGAGCAAACAGG